GGUGCUGACGCCAUUGUAGACCUCAGCCCGUCUGUACCCAGGCGCUCAUUAGAACAGCGUGUUGCUCCACACCGCCUUGUGGUGUUUGUUACCGCGCUCUUGGGGUUCGAACCGAUACAGCAGGCUUGCAGCUAUUUCAUUGGUUUAAACUUUUAUUUUUUUAUUGCAAAUGAAAAUUACUAUCAACUAUCAUUACAAAGCUGUAGAAUAUGAAGUUCGAAGGAAAACGCUGAAUCAGUAUACAAAAGCGUCUCAAUCAGACUCAUCCAUUUUGAAGCAAUUCCUCUGCCAUUUUGCCACCUCCUCUCAAAUUCAGCGACUUACCAGGAUCUUGCUCUGUCACCUAAGCUGGAGUGCA